AGGGAAGGCUCGGGCCGUACCAUCUUGACUUGAGGGAAAAGCCGGGGAAAGAGGAGCUUCGGCGCCUAUUGUUCCAAGUUUGCCCCCUGCUGCUGGUGGCAUCUGCGUGUCUCUCUCUUUCUCUCAGCAACGCAAGGAAACCCCCCUUGGGACUUGUUUUAUUUCCAUAUUUUCCAUUUUCAACACCCUCGCAGCAGCUCAUAGAUGGAGGGGAGGGGGUUGGCUGUUGGAUUCAAAUCCCAAAGCAACCAAUGGACCAUAUUUAUUUCUCUAUUUCUCUAUAACUAUAUACGUACAGGCCAAAUGUAUAUAAAAAUAUACUUUUUAAAUUGGAAAAAUGCAAAUUUUUCAACCCUAAUACUAUAUAAUAGAUUAGGCUAUUACUGGACUGGGCCCUGGCAUCUUAGAGAACUGAUACAAUUCCCCCAAGGCUCCAUAUUAUUUUAUUUUUAAUGGAAUUUUAUUAGAGGACACGGUGCGCAUAUGCAUGUAAAUUCCGUUGAUAAAAAUGGGGCUGACUUCCGAAUAAUGUGGAUAUACAAUCCUUUGGUAACUGUUAAGGCUAGUACAAUGGUGUUUACUUUGGAGUAAGCAUGCAGGAUCAGACUCUUAAGGUUGCAGAGGUCACCUGCUGCAUCCAGAAUUAUGGGUGCCUGUCAAUGAAUGGCAAAGUUUAGGAAAGGCAAACUUUCUCUCAGCCUCCAGCCUCCCACCCCUCCAAUUCAAGAUUCAUGUAUGGCUGCCUGUUUGCUUUAAGGUGCUGCACUGGUCUUCAAAACCCUAAAUAGCAUGGGACCCAAAUAGCUGACGGAAUUUAUUGAGAAUUCAAACUUCUCUGCUGUAUGAGAAAGUAAAAUUGAGUCCUAUCAAAUGAGGUUUUUUCUUCCUCUUUUUCUCUCAGGUCUUCUUUUCCCCUCUUAGGCUGGAUACUGAAGGUCAUUUCUGUUAACUUGCAAUAGAAGUUAUUACUGUAGCACAAACUCUGAUACUUGUACAUACACAAUGGGGAAAGAGGAACCUUGCAGCCUGGAGAAAAAGUGAGUUCAUUCUGUCUUCUUAUUUCCUAAUUCCUAAUUGCAGCUACUCUCUCUAGCCCCAUUCCAGCAGAUGGAGUUAUGAAAUUGGCUACAUUAGAUUUCAGGCAGCACCUGGUAUUGUCAAUUUCAUUUCCUUAAAAUAUGUUCUCCAGUGUGACAGAAAAGGGCAGUAUAUACUGUUCAAAUAGGAAAAACCUAGAAAAUGUUUUUCAAAUCUAUUCAGGCCAUGAAGGAGCAUGUGCUUCCACUGCCCUUUUUAUUUAUUUGUAUUUGUUUGGAGAAAGAUACCCUGCCUUUCCAAAGCUUUAUCACAACUCAGAGCAGUUUACUCUGAAACUGAAAUACAGUGGUACCUCGGGUUACAUACGAUUCAGGUUACAGACACUUCAGGUUACAGACUUCACUAACCCAGAAAUAGUACCUCGGGUUAGGAACUUUGCUUCAGGUUGAGAACAGAAAUUGUGCUCUGGCAGUGUGGCGGCAGCGGGAAGCCCCAUUAGAUAAAGUGGUGCUUCAGGUUGAGAACAGUUUCAGGUUAAGAACGGACCUCCGGAACGAAUUAAGUACUUAACCCGAGGUACCACUGUACUAUAUUCCCAUAACAAAACAAUCAUUUUCAAAGGCUCAUAGGGAAAAGCAAAUAUGAACACAUUGCAACACUGUGGAAGUGGGCGGUGUUUAAAUAAGAAACUUUAAUAUCUUGUCUGGGCAGAGGCUGAGGAGAAGGAAGAGUGUGUUACCCAUCUCCAGUGAUGUUAUACCCAGUAGCUUAUGCAGUGAUGCCAAUGGGUAUCCAAUGGGUAUCCUUUGCGGCCAUUCAAACAUAUUGCUGCAAAGCUACUUGGGCCAUUCAGUGUUUCACUUUGUGUCAUGUGUUUAAAAUUGUUGAAAGCCAAGCCAGUAGAAUUCCAGUAGGAUGAUGGUGUCCAAGUAUGUUUACCUGGAUAGGCAAGCAUUUCACAGAAUCAUAGAAUGGUAGAGUUGGUUGUUCAACAUUUUUCUUUCUGCAGACAUGAAGUCAUCUUGUGCCGUGCUCUUCUUGAAUAAAAAUGUUCACCACCAGAAUAGAACUGGGUUUAGUUUACAGGUAAUUUCCAAGCAAUAAUCAUCAUUGACAGAAGAGGCCUACCAAAAUUGAUCCAAAUACAAACUCUGAAGCUUCAAGUUUUGACUCUGCGUUUAAACUGACAGCCAGCUGGUCAACUGUAACCAGGUGAACUUUGUGAACUUCCCACCAGAAGUUGUACACCAGGCAUUUUUUCCUCCCAUGUGCCUCCCCUUCUCCCUGCCCCAGACUGUACACAAGAGUUUGAAAGCCUUGAAUCUCUUUAACAGCCAUAUGGGCUGCAUGGGGACAGGAUGGCAAAUCCUAAAUCACAAAGUUCAGCGAAGAACAUAAUCUAAAUCUGCAUUUUGUUUUCCUCAAAUACAAACCAGGGGAAAACAAUAAAAAGGGCAUGGUGGCAGGAGUCAGAAGGGUGGGAGAAGGGAAUUUCCUCCACAUUCUAAAUGUUAAAAAUGCUGUGUAGCUUUGCAUUUACAGAAUAAUGUAUAAACUGGUCCAUUAUUACUUUCGAACAGAGAGGCAGUGAGAGAUUCCAAGAUGAUUCCAGGCAGUAUAUAUUAAAGUGCCCAGGGGUACAGACUUUCCUCAGGGAUAUUCCAGGCUGUUUUCUGAAUGUUGAGCUUUUACUAAAGGAAAUAUGAAGAAAGUAUUGGCAAUAUUCUCUCCCCCAAUUGCUCAUUAAUGAAUAAAAUGUUUCCACCUUCCCAUGUUCUAGCCGUUGAGCUCAAUGACCCUGGGAUAACUGACAAACAUGGCUACCUCAUUUCUUUUUGUAAAAAACACCCCACUUUAAUUGUAUUUUAUUUUACUUGUAUUUAUUAAGAUGCUAGGCUACCUAUAUAUUCUGCUCUGCAGUGUUUCUCUGAUCUCCUAAAGCAGGCUUCCUCAACCUUGGCCCUCCAGAUGUUUUUGGCCUACAACUCCCAUGAUCCCUAGCUAGCAGGACCAGUGGUCAGCGAUGAUGGGAAUUGCAGUCUCAAAACAUCUGGAGGGCCAAGGUUGUGGAAGCCUGUCCUAAAGUCUCACAAUAAAAUGUCUGGC